rnacentral:rRNA from 1 species
GAGCACCUUCGGGUGUGACUGCGUACCUUUUGUAUAAUGGGUCAGCGACUUAUAUUCUGUAGCAAGGUUAACCGUAUAGGGGAGCCGCAGGGAAACCGAGUCUUAACUGGGCGUUAAGUUGCAGGGUAUAGACCCGAAACCCGGUGAUCUAGCCAUGGGCAGGUUGAAGGUUGGGUAACACUAACUGGAGGACCGAACCGACUAAUGUUGAAAAAUUAGCGGAUGACUUGUGGCUGGGGGUGAAAGGCCAAUCAAACCGGGAGAUAGCUGGUUCUCCCCGAAAGCUAUUUAGGUAGCGCCUCGUGAACUCAUCUUCGGGGGUAGAGCACUGUUUCGGCUAGGGGGUCAUCCCGACUUACCAACCCGAUGCAAACUACGAAUACCGAAGAAUGUUAUCACGGGAGACACACGGCGGGUGCUAACGUCCGUCGUGAAGAGGGAAACAACCCAGACCGCCAGCUAAGGUCCCAAAGUCAUGGUUAAGUGGGAAACGAUGUGGGAAGGCACAGACAGCCAGGAUGUUGGCUUAGAAGCAGCCAUCAUUUAAAGAAAGCGUAAUAGCUCACUGGUCGAGUCGGCCUGCGCGGAAGAUGUAACGGGGCU